rnacentral:rRNA from 1 species
UAACGCGUGAGGAACCUGCCUCAAAGAGGGGACGAACAGUUGGAACGACUGCUAAUACCGCAUAAGCCCACAGCUCGGCAUCGAGCAGAGGGAAAAGGAGUGAUCCGCUUUGAGAUGGCCUCGCGUCCGAUUAGCUAGUUGGUGAGGUAAUGGCCCACCAAGGCGACGAUCGGUAGCCGGACUGAGAGGUUGAACGGCCACAUUGGGACUGAGACACGGCCCAG